CAGUAGCCGCGGGAAUACAGAGGGUGCGAGCGUUAAUCGGAUUUACUGGGCGUAAAGCGUGCGUAGGCGGCUUCUUAAGUCGGAUGUGAAAUCCCUGAGCUUAACUUAGGAAUUGCAUUCGAUACUGGGAAGCUAGAGUAUGGGAGAGGAUGGUAGAAUUCCAGGUGUAGCGGUGAAAUGCGUAGAGAUCUGGAGGAAUACCGAUGGCGAAGGCAGCCAUCUGGCCUAAUACUGACGCUUAGGUACGAAAGCAUGGGGAGCAAACAGGAUUAGAUACCCCGGUAGUCCCUGUCUCUUAUAC
rnacentral:rRNA from 1 species